rnacentral:rRNA from 1 species
AUGAACGCUGGCGGCGUGCCUAAUACAUGCAAGUCGAGCGAACGGACGAGAAGCUUGCUUCUCUGAUGUUAGCGGCGGACGGGUGAGUAACACGUGGAUAACCUACCUAUAAGACUGGGAUAACUUCGGGAAACCGUAGCUAAUACCGGAUAAUAUUUUGAACCGCAUGGUUCAAAAGUGAAAGACGGUCUUGCUGUCACUUAUAGAUGGAUCCGCGCUGCAUUAGCUAGUUGGUAAGGUAACGGCUUACCAAGGCAACGAUGCAUAGCCGACCUGAGAGGGUGAUCGGCCACACUGGAACUGAGACACGGUCCAGACUCCUACGGGAGGCAGCAGUAGGGAAUCUUCCGCAAUGGGCGAAAGCCUGACGGAGCAACGCCGCGUGAGUGAUGAAGGUCUUCGGAUCGUAAAUCUCUGUUAUUAGGGAAGAACAUAUGUGUAAGUAACUGUGCACAUCUUGACGGUACCUAAUCAGAAAGCCACGGCUAACUACGUG